GAUGAAGAACGUAGCGAAAUGCAAUAAGUAAUGUGAAUUGCAGAACUCAGUGAAUCAUCGAAUCUUUGAACGCACAUUGCGCCCCUUGGUAUUCCAUGGGGCAUGCCUGUUCGAGCGUCAUUUGUACCUUCAAGCUCUGCUUGGUGUUGGGUGUUUGUCUCGCCUUUGCGUGUAGACUCGCCUUAAAAUAAUUGGCAGCCGGCGUAUUGAUUUCGGAGCGCAGUACAUCUCGCGCUUUGCACUCAUAACGACAGCGUCCAAAAGUACAUUUUACACUCUUGACCUCGGAUCAGGUAGGGAUACCCGCUGAACUUAAGCAUAUCAAUAAGCGGAGGA
rnacentral:misc_RNA from 1 species